rnacentral:rRNA from 1 species
ACACGCAUGACACACUGCAUAUCAAUAAGCGGAGGAAAAGAAACUAACUAGGAUUCCCUCAGUAACGGCGAGUGAAGCGGGAAGAGCUCAAAUUUGAAAUCUUCAAGGUUCUACCUUGACGAAUUGUAGUUUAAAGAAGUGUUUUCUGUUGGAGUUUUGGUAAAAGUUCUUUGGAAUAGGACAUCAUAGAGGGUGAGAAUCCCGUAUUUGACCAUUAUUUCCAGCUGUGUGAUACACUUUCAAAGAGUCGGAUUGUUUGGGAAUGCAGUCCAAAAUGGGUGGUAAAUUUCAUCUAAAGCUAAAUAUUGGCGAGAGACCGAUAGCGAACAAGUACCGUGAGGGAAAGAUGAAAAGAACUUUGAAAAGAGAGUUAAACAGUACGUGAAAUUGUCAAAAGGGAAGCGUUUGACACCAGUGUUGUUUAGUUGAAAAUCAAUUCAAUAAUUUUUGAUUUUAAGUAGUAUUGACUUCAUCAGCUUGCUGCUUUCUUUUCAGGAAUUAUUGAAUGCACUUUUCAGUUAACAAGUCAACAUCAAUUUCUUUUGUUGUAAAAGGGUAAGAGGAAGGUGGCUUACGCUUCGGCGUAAGUGUUUAUAGCCUUUUACCUCUGCAAUCGGAGAGAUUGAGGACAGCAGCGUAGACUCUUCGGGGUUAGAUACACUUGUGCUAAGCUAUAGCCUUGUAUAGACAACUUGUUGACUAUGCUCAGUCAUGUAGCUUACUCGCUUGUGCUAUUUUACCUACGCUUAGGAUGUUGAGCGCAUGUCUCUCUCU